GAUGAACGCUGGCGGCGUGCCUAAUACAUGCAAGUCGAGCGAACAGAUAAGGAGCUUGCUCCUUUGACGUUAGCGGCGGACGGGUGAGUAACACGUGGGUAACCUACCUAUAAGACUGGGAUAACUUCGGGAAACCGGAGCUAAUACCGGAUAACAUUUGGAACCGCAUGGUUCUAAAGUGAAAGAUGGUUUUGCUAUCACUUAUAGAUGGACCCGCGCCGUAUUAGCUAGUUGGUAAGGUAACGGCUUACCAAGGCGACGAUACGUAGCCGACCUGAUAGGGUGAUCGGCGACCCUGGAACUGAGACGCGGUCCAGACUCCUACGGGAGGCAGCAGUAGGGAAUCUUCCGCAAUGGGCGAAAGCCUGACGGAGCAACGCCGCGUGAGUGAUGAAGGGGUUCGGCUCGUAAAACUCUGUUAUUAGGGAAGAACAAACGUGUAAGGAACUGUGCACGUCUUGACGGUACCUAAUCAGAAAGCCACGGCUAACUACGUG
rnacentral:rRNA from 1 species